rnacentral:rRNA from 1 species
UACAGAGGGUGCGAGCGUUAAUCGGAAUUACUGGGCGUAAAGCGUGCGUAGGUGGUGAGUUAAGUCUGUCGUGAAAGCCCCGGGCUCAACCUGGGAAUGGCGAUGGAUACUGGCUCGCUAGAGUGCGGUAGAGGAGAGUGGAAUUCCCAGUGUAGAGGUGAAAUUCGUAGAUAUUGGGAAGAACACCAGUGGCGAAGGCGGCUCACUGGCCCGUAACUGACGCUGAGGUGCGAAAGCGUGGGGAGCAAACAGG